AUGAGUCCAUCAUUCUCCUUUAUUAACUUCUACCGGUGCCAGUUUGACCCAGUCAAUGGAGGAGAAAUGCAGCAGCUGGAAUGCCACAAUUUCCUAAAACCAUCAGAUCAACCGUAG
rnacentral:rRNA from 1 species